UUUGCCUUCUUAUAAUCCCUCAGUUAUCUACUGAGUCACACUCAGCACCAUAAAGUAAUGUCUCCUUUGUUUCUAAGUGCCUCCUGGCAUUUCUACUGUGUCCUUGCCGCCAUUGUUCCAUAGGAGGGGAAAUUGAAACUGGCCCUUCAUGUAGUACACCAAAAGACUGGUACGUUGGAGAUAAAUGACCUGGGGAAUUCUGUUUCUGUUGACUCCUCACUUAUAUUCUGGGAUAGGGUUAGUUCUGUCUUUUGUCUUCUACAAUACUUCUUGUUUAUUUACUUGGACAAUAUAUCUCUGGCUGUAAGGGGUCAUUUUAUGACUGAAAUGCUUCCUUUUGUCAAUGAAGUACCUAAAAUAGCACAGCAAAGGGUCAGAAAGGUCACAGUUGUGAUACAUAAAUUAAUAGUCUCUCAGUUCUGACUUUCUUUUUGUCAUAGGAGAGAUAAUCAUAAUCAUAAUCACAACAUGCUUUUCUUUUUGCUUCUACUAUAUUGAUAGAGUGAAGUCCCACAUUAAUCAUAUUAAUGAUCGGCACAGCACUCAGGAAUUGUCACCUUACUUUAGAUUAUAGAUAUGAAUAUGAGGUACUUAUUUGAUAAGGUCACAAUUUAAGGUAUUGCUAUGUCAAAUUGUUGCUACAUCUUGCAUAAAAUGUGGUUGUGUAAAAAUGCAAAGUAAAAUACAGUAUUCUGCAAACUCUGUACAAAUUGUGUGUAGAUUUCUUGCUAAAUAAUCUGAGUAUUUGCUACUCAAAUUUCAUUGGUAAUCAUAGCUGAACAUGGCAGAUAUGAUUUUCAGGUGGAUUUCUUAAGAACUUUUACUCUUUGAGACCCUCCCCCUAGCAACUCUAAUAUCUAAUCUUUCCCUAUAUCCUUCAAAGUUCCUGUAGUUCCUGUUCAGGCUCAAGUGGACUCAUUUGAAACUGAACAAGAAUAAACUUGGCUCAGAAGGAUAGCAAAUUCCUUAGUUACAUGUGUUAUUACAUUAGAUAUUUCAUAAGAAUUUCAUAAAUUUCUGAAACUAAACAAGACUCUUAGUUAUAUUCUAGGAGAAUGAAUUCAAGUCUCUGCCACUGUCCUUAUUUCAUAUUUGGUGAACCAAACUGAUUAGCCUAAACUUAUACACCCUCAGAGAAAACUUAGUAUUACUAAUAAAGAGUACUUUUCUCUUAGGCAUAGUGCUUUUCUAUCCAUUAUUUCAGUUAAGUUCCCCUUGUAAAACCUGAAGAACAACUGUAUUACACAUAUUUGUAGAGUAGAGUAACUAUUUACAAGUAAAUUGGUUUCAUAGGACAUAUUUUUGGCAGAGCAGUGAUGAAGUAAAGAACAGUUUUCUAGCUGACUCAAUUGACUUCUUUUAUUCCUUUGGUGAUGUAUGUAAGUCUUAGUCCUUUAGCCAUAAAUUGCUAGGGCUACACAUGCGUAUCACAAGUGUUUUAAAAUCCUCCUCUUCUACUCUUAUACAUAGCCCAGAGCACUUUACAAUAGUAACUUUUUUUGUCUUCUUGAAAUUACUUUUUAAAUUUUUACUUAAACCUUCUAUUUUCAACCCCUCCUAAGGAAAAUGGCUAAUGUGAGGAAACGCUGUAUUUUCUUACCUCAAAGUAAUUUA